rnacentral:lncRNA from 1 species
GAAAAAAAAAGAGGAUUUUGCCGAUUCCAUUAUGUGGUGACUAUGGUGACAGACUUGGCUGGGGUCCUCCUUGUGAGUUGAUUGUUAAGGUGUCUGACUUUUAUCGCCCUCUUCUUUUUAGAACUUAGCCUGUUGUAAUGUUGCUUGGAUUUGGAAGCUACAAGUUUAUCCUUAGGUUGCUUUUUUUAUGUGGGAAUUAGCAUGUUUCCGACUUCCAUGUUGUGAUAUUUUAUUGCAGCGUGGUUAUCAUAUCCAAAGGUAUCGUGAUCUUGGCCCGGAGUAUGAAGAGUCUUUAUCUCGUGUGUUUCUUCAUUGCAGAUUAGCUUCUGAGGUUUAGAGACAGUCAUCUAUACAGAAUGCUGAUUCUUUUUCAUCUUUGUCCGUGGAAGAAUUUGUCCAUAGUGUUAAGGGAAGAUUCUUUAGUCAUGACCAAAAAGGAGAAAUUGGAAGCACAGGUCAUAUCUUAGAUUCCUUGUCAUAUUUGGUGGGUACGGAAUAAAUGUAUUUGUCAUAAUGUUAAAGAGUGCAAGAUUAAGUUUUUAGAAGCUUCUAUUUAGGUUUGAGAAUUUUUUUAGUUUGUUGUUAAGGGA